rnacentral:rRNA from 1 species
UUUAAAAUAUAAAUUUUUAUUAAAUUUGUAGUAUAAAUAUAUUAAUAAAUUUAAAAUUUUAUAAAAAAUAGAUUAAAAAAAGUAUUUUUAAAUUAGAAAAUUUUAGUAAAAUUAAGAAAAAAUUAAAUGUUAAGAGAAGUAUAAAAAUAGAAAUAAUAAGAUAUUUUAGAGUUAAAUAAAUAAAAAAAAAAAUAAUUUUUUGUACCUUUUGUAUCAGGGUUAAUUUAAAUUUUUAAUGUAAAAUUAAUUUUCGAAUUAAUAAGAUUUAAAUAUAAAUAAUAGUUAAUGUAAAAAAAUUAUUAUAAAUUUAUAUUUGGGAAAGAAAUUUUAGUCGGGUAUUGUGAUAUCUAAUAAUUUGAUAAAUGAAUUUAAUUCAGAUAAAUUAAUAUAAUUUUUUUAUAAAUUAAAAUUUUAUAAAUUAUUAAUUUAUUAAAGAUUUUAGGGUAAGCUUAAAAUUUAUUUUAUAAAUUAUUAAAGAUUUUAAUAUUUAUAUAUUAAUUAAAGUUUUUAUUUUUAAUAUAAAUGUAAUAAUUUAAAAUUUAAGAUUUUAAUUAAAUUAAUUUUUUAAAUAAUUAUUAAAUUAAUUUGAUAAAUUAAAUAUUAAGUAAAAUAAUGAUUAAAUUAGUAUAUAAUUUUUAUAAAAAAUUAAAAUUUAUAAAAUUUAAUUUUAAGGAAUUAGGCAAGAUAUAAAUAAAUAAUAUUAUUUAAAUAAAUUCACCUGUUUAACAAAAACAUGUCUUUAAGAAUUUAAUUUAAAGUCAAAUCUGCUCAAUGAUUUAAUUAUUAAAUAGCUGCAGUAUUUUGACUGUACAAAGGUAGCAUAAUCAAUAGUUUUUUAAUUUAAAGCUGGAAUGAAUGAUUUGAUGAGAUUUAAACUGUCUCAAAAUUAAAAAUAGAAUUUUUUUUAUUAAUUAAAAAAUUAAUAUGAAUUUAAAAGACGAGAAGACCCUAUAGAAUUUUAUUUAUUUAAAAUUAAAUAAAAAAAAAUUAUUAUAUUAAUUAAUAUUAAUUAAAUUUGAUUGGGGAGAUUAUUAAAUUUAAAUAACUUUAAUUAAAAAUAAACAAAAAUAAAUGAAUGGUUGAUCUUGAAUUUUAGAUUGAAAGAAAUAAUUACCUUAGGGAUAACAGCGUAAUUUUAUUGGAUAGUUCAUAUUAAUAAUAAAGUUUGCGACCUCGAUGUUGAAUUAAGAUAAAAUUUAAAUGGAAAAGUUUAAAAUUUUUGGUCUGUUCGACCAUUAAAAUCUUACAUGAUUUGAGUUCAGAUCGGUGUGAGCCAGAUCGGUUUCUAUCUUUAAAAAAAAAUAAAUUAUUUUGUACGAAAGGACUAAUAAUUUUUAAUAAUUAAUAAGAAUUGAAUAAUUUUAAUAAAAAUAAU